AUUGAACGCUGGCGGCAUGCCUUACACAUGCAAGUCGAACGGCAGCACGGGAGCAAUCCUGGUGGCGAGUGGCGAACGGGUGAGUAAUAUAUCGGAACGUGCCCAGUCGUGGGGGAUAACGUAGCGAAAGCUACGCUAAUACCGCAUACGAUCUACGGAUGAAAGCGGGGGAUCGCAAGACCUCGCGCGAUUGGAGCGGCCGAUAUCAGAUUAGCUAGUUGGUGGGGUAAAAGCUCACCAAGGCGACGAUCUGUAGCUGGUCUGAGAGGACGACCAGCCACACUGGAACUGAGACACGAUCCAGACUCCUACGGGAGGCAGCAGUGGGGAAUUUUGGACAAUGGGCGCAAGCCUGAUCCAGCAAUGCCGCGUGCAGGAUGAAGGCCUUCGGGUUGUAAACUGCUUUUGUACGGAACGAAACGGUGAGCUCUAAUAAAGCUUGCUAAUGACGGUACCGUAAGAAUAAGCACCGGCUAACUACGUG
rnacentral:rRNA from 1 species